UUUUAAGAUCACACCUCCAAA
rnacentral:piRNA from 1 species